AUUUGCGGGCCCUGGAA
rnacentral:misc_RNA from 1 species